UGUGCGCCUUGUUUCCGAUUCAAAAUUCCAUACGUUUUCAAAACCCUCACUCUCACAUAUUAGCUGCUCAUCUUCAUCGUUACCGUUCUGUGUUCGACGGCGUUCUACACUUUCGGAAUUUCAUGGUUUCUAUUCGCAAUGUCGUUGUGUUUAGUUUUUGCUAUCUUGUUUAGAGUCGGGGGUCUCUCUGGAAACAACAUCUCUAUCCUAAGGGAUGGAGGAAAGGUGUGACUACAUCUCAACUUCCCACACCCUACAAAUAGCUUGACUAUGAGUGGGAUUUACCGAGUAUGGUUGUUAUUGUUGUUAUUUUGUUUUCCUCUCAUUUUUUUUCAUUUGUUUUGAUUCGUAUAUAGUUUGUAUCUAAUAUAUCUUAAUGUAAUUUCAGCCUUGAAACAAUAGACCGUACGUUCUCACAAUAUAACAAUGUAAUUUUCUAUUUCAUUUAGUCAUUGGUUGUUGGAAUGUAAUUCUACUAUUUAUU
rnacentral:lncRNA from 1 species